ensembl:lncRNA
UUUGUUUGAUCGGAUCAGGCUUUAUUGACAUCAUUAGCAUAGCUGUCAUUUAUAAAUAGGAACAUUUACAAACAUUGGUACAAAUGAUGUGUUGAUUCCAAUAAGUGAUGUCUUGCCAUGUACCUCUCUUUGCCAAACAGCAGAUGGCCUCACACACCGUCUGCCCUGGUACACCUACUGAGACCCAGCAGGGGCUGCGGACACAGACAGGAUAGCAGACAGAAAAUAUCAGUUGAUGACUCUAAGCAUUUGUGACCUUCUUAUGCAGUGCUUAUGUGCUACUUAUAACACAUGUUAUGAAACCCUUAAAAAAGUUGCAAUCCGAGAUUCAGCAAACCAAAAAACUGAGGGUUGCCAGGUGUGUGUAAUGAUUGUUGCCAGGUGUGGGUAAUGAUGGGUUGCCAGGUGUGGUGUAAUGAUGGGUUGCCAGGUGUGCGUAAUGAUGGGUUGCCAGGUGUGCGUAAUGCUGGGUUGCCAGGUGUACGUAAGGAUAGGUUGCCAAGUGUGCGUAAUGAUGGGUUGCCAGGUGUACGUAAUGAGGGUUGCCAGGUGUGCAUAAUAUGGGUUGCCAGGCGUGCAUAAUGAUGGGUUGCCAGGUGUGCAUAAUGAUGGGAACUAUGUGUGUGUAAUGAUGGGUUGCCAGGUGUACGUAAUGAGGGUUGCCAGGUGUGCAUAAGGAUGGGAACUAUGUGUGUGUAAUGAUGGGUUGCCAGGUGUACGUAAUGAUGGGUUGCCAGGUGCACGUAAUGACGGGUUGCCAGGUGUGCGUAAAGAUGGGUUGCCAGGUGUACGUAAUGAUGGGUUGCCAGGUGUGCAUAAUGAUGGGAACUAUGUGUGUGUAACGACGGGUUGCCAGGUGUGCGUAAUGAUUGGUUGCCAGGUGUAUGUAAAGAUGGGUUGCCAGGGCCAGUUGUUAGUAAACCGGCGACGUCGACCGUCGGAGCGGGAGUAAACGUGACAGACAGGCUCCAAGGAUCUCCCAUUCUUUGUAGCACUGAAUAGUUCCAUCAUCGUCCUUCUUCUGAUCCAUCUGAUCCAUCAGAGGGUGUGGAGAGAUCUUAUACAUUGCUUUCCCAACCUUAGCUACUGGACUGACCCCGACCUUGGCUACUGGACCGACCCAUACCCUGGUUACUGGACUGACCCGUAACCUGGUUGCUGGACCGACCACAAACUUAGCUACUGGACCGACCCCGACCCUGGUUAUUUCUUACAUUGUUACCCCAGGAAAUCUUGAGUCUUAUUACAUACAACUGGGAACAACUAUUGGAUAUACCAUCAAUACAACAAGGAAUACGACUUUCCCGAAGCGGAUCCUUUGUUCAGACCAUCACCCAGGGCAAUGGAUCUAAUUCCAGAAGCCGAUCCAAAACAACAGGCCGCAGAUGGGCCAGACAAAGCAGCCUCCUGGUCAGACUCCGUAGACGUUCACAUCGCCCACCGCUCCCUAGUAUACUACUUGCCAAGAAAAUUCGAGCAAGGGUUGCCUUCCAAAGAGAUAUUAGCGAUUGUAAUAUUCUCUGUUUCACAGAAACAUGGCACUCUCGGGACAUGUAGUCGGAAUCGGUUCAGCCACCGGGCUUCUCCAUGCAUCGCGCUGACAAAGAUGAACACCUCUCGGGGAAGAGGAAGGGCGGGGGUGUAUGCUUCAUGAUUAACGACUCAUGGUGUAAUCAUAACAUACAGGAACUCAAGUCCUUCUGCUCACCCAAACUAGAAUUCCUUACAAUCAAAUGCCAGCCAUUUUACCUACCAAGAUCAUUCUCAUCAGUUAUAGUCACAGCUGUUUACAGUCCCCCUCAAGCAGACAAGGCGGCCCUAAAGGAACUUCACUGGACUUUAUGUAAACAGGAAAUCAUACAUUGGGGCAAAAAAGUAUUUAGUCAGCCAACAAUUGUGCAAGUUCUCCCAUUUAAAAAGAUGAGAGAGGCCUGUAAUUUUCAUCAUAGGUAAACAGACAAAAUGAAAAAAAAAAUCCAGAAAAUCACAUUGUAGGAUUUUU